UGUUCCUCUGGCUGUGUGUCACCUUAAUCCUACCAGGCAGAGCUUGUGGUCCUGCAGAGCCUGCCUGCUCACUGCUGCCCCCCCUCCGACUGAGGAUGGAAUGGACAUAUGAUGGUGCUGGUGAGGAAGCCGCCAUUUCUCCCAUUUUCAAAUUGGAGCACCUGGAGGAAAAAAGAGUGAUCUCUGUUUAGGGCAUUCCUUGUAGACUCCUCUGGGAUUUAGUUAUUUUCUUGGAGCAACAGAGGGAAGAAUUCACCAAGGUCACCAAUGGGAAUUUAACUGGGGUCUUCCCACCAGGUCAGUUGCCCCUGUCAGAGCAACUCCUUGUCUUUAUACCCACUAUGGCCUCCAAUUCACAGAAUCCUAGAAUCCUAGAAUUUGGUUGGAAGGAACAUUAAAGAUCAACUAAUUCCAACAUGGGCAAGGGCACCUUCCACUGCCAUGGGCAAGAAUACCUUCCACUAGACCAGGUUGCUCCAAGCUCUGUCCAACCUGGCCUUGAACACUUCCAGGAAUGGGGCAGCCACAGCUUCUCUGGGCAACCUGUGCCAGACCCUCAUCACCCUCACAGAGGCCCCCUUUAAGUGUUCUUCUCUACAUGAGCCAGCUUCAGAGAGCAGACAAGUGGCAGAAUACACAGGGUAGCACCCUAAAGCCUGAAGGUGAAGCAAGGGAAGAGAAGGACUGGUGUGGGAUAGUUCAAAAUUCACAGCACUGAAGAAUUCAAGGAGAAGUUCUCUCCUAUUACAGAAGCACCCAGGAGGAUGAGAAGACAAACAGCAAAGCCAAGAAAAGGAAACAUAUUCUGAACACGUGUGACACUGAUUAUUACCUGGCAUAGAACAGCAAAUAUGCUUGCUGCCCCAGAACUGUGUGGGUGUCACAACUAUCCACAGACUCAUCGUCCAUCUUGUACCACAGUCCAUUGCUGGCCUGCAAAGAAAGGCAUACAUCUGGAGAGGAACUCCAGGGUUUUUCCACAACGCCACAGGCAGAAAACUGCAGAACCAAGAGUACACUAAAACAAAUCCAAUCCACUCCCAAAGGAGAGCUUCUCCCCCAAAACCCUGGCUGCCAGUAACACCGCUUGGAAAGUUUGUCUUCCCCAGCACAAAUUUUUCCUUGUCAGGAGGAAUGUCUUUACCUUCGUGUAGCAGAAAAAGUGUCCUUCAAGACAGGUGUCACCACUGUGCACCACGAUGGCAUAUAAGGAGCAGAGGAGGGGUUCUCCAGCUGUGUCAGACAUGUAUGGCCGAAGAUCCAAGUACUCAGGAUAGUCCACAAACUACAGAGAGACCAAGAGGGCUCAGAAAUGAUCCUGAGCUACCACACGAAAUAGCCUUCAAUAUGUAAUGAUUUAGGUGGCAGGAAACUGUUCUCAGCCAAAACAUCUCUGUCAGAGCAGAGUCCAGGCUUGUCUUCCCACAGGAAUUCUCUCCUCAGAAGGGAACGCAAAAAACUCAACAAGAGCAGCUUGUGACAGAGUGUCCUGCUUUGGGGAAUCUUCUGCUCCAGGAAGAGAAAGUUGGACUCCAGCUGUGUACACACCUUGCUGAUCUUCUUGCCAGUCCAUUGGUCAGCCCUUUCCAGACAUAAUGUGAGGACUCUGGGUGCUUGGUGGAUUGUGACCCUCUUGGAGGCAGCAACCUUCUUCUUACACCUUGAAACCAAGCACAGAACCGAGUGCUGAAAUGAACCUGAUCUUCCCCCAAGAAGACCAGAUAACCUUUUCUGUCUCACUCAUCCUUAUGCUAUUUUAAGGCUAUUCCGAGCCACAUUAAAAAAGCUGUGUCUCACUGUUGUGCAUUAAACCUCCAUGAGAUGAUUUCUGUUCGAUGACAUUCAACCUCCCCUCAUGCAGGAUCUGGUGUUAUUGUGUCAUCAGGAAUCAUCUUACUUGCUACAUUUGAAGCAUUCUUUCAGAUCCAGCUCCUUGGGUGUCACACAGUCCUCCAGAACUGUGGUGAGGGACGAGGCUGCCUGGAAGAGUGAGAAAGGAGCCGCUGAGCUUUGGGAAAUGCUCUCACCCAAACACUUCCCAGGAGCUGACAAGAAGACCCAGGCAGCUAACUCUGAGGAUACCCAUUGUAAACCUGCAGGCAUUGUCUGGGAGGAGGCAAAGAAAGAGGGUGUGAUGCUGAAUAUUUCCCUCAUGUUCCAGGGGCUCCCAGAGCCAUCAAGAGCUCCCUCUCUGUGCCACCACUCAGUUCAGCUACUGAUGUCAUGCAGGGGCAUCGGUAGGGAAAACAAUCCAACUCCAUCAGCCUGGGAGCCAGAAGGGUGUUGAGAGAGGGCAAAGGGAAGAAGGAGGAGAGUAUGUCAAGGGUGCAGAGGGGAUAAUGCUGCUUGUUCGGCCUAAAGCCAGCACCAUGGGGACACCAGUGUCAUGGCCUCUGCAGGAACGCAUGCAUUCCCCUUCCCACUCACCACCAAGCUCCCUUGUGCUUGCAGUGUAGGUUUUUAAGACAAACACUUUGAUUCUGGAAAGAUACAGGGGCCUUGGGGCACCUGUAGCACAAUUGUGAACCCUCUUACUCUGAUAUCCAAAGAGAUAUCCAGGAAGGCCUUGUAGGAGUCAGUAACUGCUUGGCAGCUCAAGCAUGUGACUGGAAAGAAAAUCAAAAUGCUGGGUUAGUUGACUGUGCCAGUGUAUGCUUAGGUUACCUACUAUGCCAAUCCCAGGACCAGCUAUUUGUCACAGGCAGACAGAAGGGCACAGACAAUGUGAAAGGAAUAGCUGUGGAAACAUACCUCUGGAUCUCAUAAAGCCCCCAAAUAUUUGAUGGACAAUGGUAGUUUCUUGUGAAGAGAUGUCCGAGCUGGAAAUAAAAAUAAAUGGCAAGGAAGAGAGUUACCUCCUCCAAGAGUCCAAGUUGAAGGCCCUGGACAUCAGUUUUCCUUGAUGGGAGCACAUCAAGGAGUCCAACAGGUUCGGGAACAUUGAAAAGGUAAUUUGCUUGUGCUUACUCGCUGCUGCCACUCAGACAAGCUCUCUGCAUGGCAUUGAGAGCACAGCGUAAGAACUCGUAGGCGUUUUCCUGCCUGCCAUACUCAAAUUCUUCUCCUAUGACUAAGAAAGAAGAAGUUAGUAGCUCUCCCCUAAAGGGAACAAAAAGAAGAAAGCCUGUUGAAGCACCUGAAACAACUUACAUUUGAGGUCCCUGAGGACAGCCCCAGGCAGGAUGGCACUGGCUGAGGAAUGCAGGACCUUCCUAAUGUGCACUUCCAUGACGCACAUCAUGCAGAAGCCUUGCUGUUGACCUGAAGAGGUGCAUUGUGCUGGCAGCGCCCACAACACUGGGCAUCGCCACUCAUCAAUACCAACCUAGAGACUGUGUGUACCUCGAAAUCUGCCCUGAAGAACCUCUCUGAGAAGGGUGGAAAGGAGUGUAUCGAGUGCCGCUAACAGUCAAUAUUGCUGUGAAGGUGCAAGGAGUAUAUUCUUGGAUCCAUUCCAGAUGAAUCAAGCCAAAGCCAGCAUCAGAAUGAACUGCCAAAGCAACUGGACCCACACCCCAGAACAGACUGGAGACAGGGGCAAUGGGUACUGUGCAGAUCCAAAACAUUGGCACAUGCUAGCUAUGGAGCAUGUGGAGUUUCCAUCCUUGGAGAUGCUCCAUAGCCCUCUGGGCAUGGUCAUGGACAAGUGCCUCCAGGUGGCCUUGCUCAAGAAGAGGGGGUGGGACCACCUCAGUGAUUUCAUCCUCCAGCCUUAAGGUGCCAGUGAUUCUGUGGAAUGGAUGUCUAGAACACAAUCCAGCCAUCAACACUGCCGCGGUUCGCUCAGAUGGAAUGAGACAGCAAACUUCUGGCGUUCAGGUGAAAAGGUUUUAUUGAACUCCCAACACAAAAUGGCUCCCACCUUAUAUAGGGCAGAGAGCAAACCCUCUGGAAGGAGGGUGGAGUUAGGGAGGAGCAAGGGCAGAGUGUGUAAAUUAAUGGGAUGGCAAAACCAUAUAGGGAAAAGGGCUGCACUGCAGCUAAAACAAACCAAAAGGAAGGUAGGGUUUAGGAACAUGAGGGAUGAGGGAAAGUACUGGAAAACUGGGGUACAAUAAUGAGGGGAAUAUUACAAUAAAUAAAGAAAACACAGUGUUAAACCCAAAACACAUUCUAAAACAAUCCAUAAAAGUCCAUGUUUGCUUCCAAAGUGUAUCCUUUAUUGAGAGGCGAUGCUUUCCUCAUUGUCCACCUCCAACACAACACUGUUCCCCUAAGAUAGCCAUUAACAGCUCCACCAGAAGGCUGGAGACUUUGGAGAGCCCAGUCUGGAACAGGCUUCUGGCAGGAGCUAUGCCCCCUGCAGAGCAGCCAUGAGGGUCACUGGCCCCUUAAAAAGGCAGCUAUGGGACCUAAAAGUGAAUGUUUGGUCCCCAAAAAUGGAGGCUUCACAGAAUCCUAGAAUUUGGUCAGAGGAGCCUUAAAGAUCAACCUCCCUGCCAAAGGCAGGGACACCUUCCACUAGGCCAGGUUGCUCCAAGCCCUGUCCAACCUGGGCUUGAACACUUUCAGGGAUGGGGCAGCAACAACUUCUCUGGACAACCUGUGCCAGGGCCUCACCACCUCACAGGAAAGAAUUCCUUCCCAAAAUCUCAUCUAACCCUCCCUUCUGUCAGUGUGAAACCACUCCCUCUUGUCCUGUCUCUCCAGGCCCUUGUCCAAAGUCCCUCUCCAGCUCUCUUGGAGCCCUUUCAGAGUUAGAAUAUUCUUGAAAGGUCUCCCUAGAGCCUUCUCCAGGCUGGAAAACCAAAACUCUCUAACUCUAUCUUCAUAGGAGAGGUGCUCCAGCCCUCAGAACAUCUUCAUUUUCUUGAACUAACAAGCCUAGAAGCAAAGAUUGCUUUGAAUCCUCCAGAUAAGGGUUUGGACACUCAAGGUGUGGCUUAGACCCUAAAAAUGCCUGGCUGGAUUGUAAAAAUGCCAGUUUGGGAAGUGAAAGGAGACUCCAAGAGAAACAACACAGCUUUGGACUCUCAAAAAGAGCAUUUGCAAACUGAAAUGAAUCCUUUGGACACUAAAUAUGAGGUUUUGUAGACUAAAAAGAGCUGAUUUGCAAGCCAACACUAAGCCUUUGUGAAGGAAACAUGAGGCUUAGGACCCUCUCAAUGUACAUUUGGACACUUAAUGACAGCUUUGGCUCUGAAAAAUGAGGGUUUGGACCCUCCAAAUCAAAAUGUGUACCCUAAAAAUAUCUGUAGGUAAUACAAAACAUGUUGGGAGCCUAGAAAUGAGGAUUUGGGCCCCAAAAUGGAGGCUUAGGGACAAAAACAAAAAGAAGCAUUGACCUUGUGGACCCUGCUAAGGAGGUGAAUCUACUUGUUUCACUCUGACCCCAAGAAAUGAAACUUUGGUGCUGACUAGAAGGCUUCAGGCACUCCAGUGGAAGCUUUGAGCUGUAAAAGAGGCUUUGGACCCUCCAAAAGAGGACUUAGAUCUUUAAACUGGCGCUUUGGACAUGAAGAGGAAAGUUUGAACCCUGAAGUUAUGUUUUGUGGCCUCAAAGGAUGCUUCAUUUCAUUAAAACAAACUAAGGCUUUGCCUCCCUAAAAAUGGAUCUUUGGGGAUUAAAAGAAGGUUUUGACCCCACCAAAUUGCAGACUGAAUCCUAAAGUGGAGGCUUUGGUCCCUUGCUGGGGGCUUUGGAAGCUAAAAUGAAAGUUCAGGCCUAAAAAAACCUUUGAAUUUUACAAAUGAGGCUUUGGACCUUUGCAAUCAGACUUUGGGUCUUCAAAAUGACUCUCUGAGCCCUUCAGAUUAGCCUGAACAGCCCUCAGAACUUAAAAAUGUGUCUUUGUGCCUUAACAAGGGGGGUUGGAUUCAAAUCAAGAGGUUUUGCAACCUAAAAAGAAAACUAUGUGUCCUAACAAAAGACUAUGGGUAAUAAAACACAGGCUCGGACCCUACAAAUGAGGGUUUUGGCCCUGAAAAUGUGACUUUACAUCACAGAAGUGGGUCUUUGGAUGCUCCAAAUGAGGCUUUAGACCUGAAGAACAUGAGGCUAGGAGCCCUCAGUGAGAAGUUUGUACCCUGAAAUGAGGCUUUGUCCGUAAGCAGGCAGGUUUCAAGGCUAGAGGGAAAGCUUUGAGCUCUAAACAUUAGGAUUUGGGCUGUAAGAGAGAGUCUUUGGGGCUCAGAGGUAUUUUAUAACUCUCAGAAAUUGUCUGAAAGGAGCUUGUAGCAAGAUGCGGUCAGCCUCUUCUCCCAAGUAACAAACAACAGGACAAGAGAAAACAUCCUCAUGUUGCAUCUGGGAAGGUUUAGAUUGACUAUUCAGAAAAAUUUCUUCACUGAAAGGGUGUUCAGGCAUUGGAACAGGCUACUUGGGGAAGUGGUGGAGUCACCAUCCUUAGAUGUGUUCAAAAAGAGUGCAGAUAUGGCACUUGGGGUCGAGGUUUGCUGGUGAACAUGGUGAUGUUGGGUUAACGGUUGGUCAUGAUCUCAGAGCCCUUUUCUAACCUUAACGGUCCUAUGAUUCCAUGAUUCUCUGAUAAGAAGCCAUUCCUUCUGUUGAGUUCCGUGGCAACAAACAAAGAAAUUGUUGUUAGGGAAGGGUUUCACGUCAGCCUGCACUGAGACCAUAUCAAGCACUCUUGGGGUCCAUUAUUAGGGUCACGCAGAGGAAGAUAAUAGUUGGAGGUUUAAAAGAAGGCUAUGAGCUUGCCAACUUGCAGACUAAAUCCUAAAAAGGAGGCUUCAUUCUCUGAGAAGGGGGCUUUGGAAGCUAAAAAGACAAUUUAGACUUGAAAAUGACACUUUGGACUCUCUAAAGAAGGCUUUGGACUCUACAAAUGAAACUUUGGACCUUCCAAAUCAAACUUUCAAAAUGAUGCUCUGGGGCACAUGAGUCUUUGAACCAAAAUCAACAGUCAGUGGGGAAUCAGUGGUUGCCUCUGAAUUCCGGCAUUCUGCCCUGAACCUCCCAUUGUCCCACCAGGCAAAAAGGGAGAUAAAAAUCCUGUAAAACUCCUCCAUUAUCCAGACCCACCUGGAUUAGUUAUCUCACCCUCUGAGGAUGUCAUAGGUUUGAAAAGAGAUGUUGGAAUUUUUUCCCAAAUGCCCUCACUGCCCCCCUCCCCCAUCUGUUUCUUCCAGGAUGGGGGGGGAAUGGAGCGAAGCCGUAUGUCCUGGGCAGCACAGGAGAGGGGGAGGGGGAGCGCUCUCAGGAAACAGAGGUUGCCGCAGGGACGGUUGGGCCUCAGUUGUUCGGGGGGUUUUGGGGGUUUUGUCUGCAGACCGGACAGAGCAGGAGCCUGGUUUUGGCACCUCUUUUUCUUUUCCUGAGAGGAAGAUUUUUUUCCCCAUAGGGCAUCUCCUGGAGAAUGACUGAGAGAGAGAGAGACCGACACAUCUCAGAGCGAGGUAUUCUGCUUUCAAGACUGCCUGUGGGGAAAAAGGACUUUUUCAUUGCUGGCGAGCAUAUGUGGCUGUGAGCAGCUUUUGAACUGCCAGGACAGUCCUGCCUUCCCCCCACCCUCCCUGGGCUGCCGUGGGUUUCUCCCCCCCCACCCACCUGGGGAAUUGGGACUUUGUUUUGUUUCUUCUGAAAGUUUUUGAUUGCACCAUUUGUUGUUUACUUGGAUUUUGUUAAUAAAAAAGCUGUUUCUUCUCCUUUUCCACACUUCCACCUGAAAUUCUCUAAUUUCUAAGUUGUAAUCUUGUUAAACUAAGACAGUGGGGCAGGUGCAACCCACUCUUAAAACCGCGGGCAGACCUUGGGGAGCUACUGAUGCUCCUGGGAAGGACCAGCCAACCAACACUGCAGGGAGUUUUCCUUCUUUUUAAUAAUUGUUCUGUAAUAGGCCGAAUUUUUUCUGUUCUUUCAUAGGAAUCUGCCCACACACAAGAUCAAAUUAUGUGGGAUUGAUGAAAUUGCCCCAUAAUUAUCAGUUAAUUAAUUUCUGUGAUUUGUUUGUGUUUUUAUCAUGAGCAACUUGCUGGGAGACCAAACAUUAGUAGGAUUAUAUGAAGCAGAUAAUUUUAUGUAUUCUUUAAGUUUACUUUUUUUUUUUUACUGGAAAAAAAAAGAUGUGGGAAAAGCUUUUUAGUUUUAUCUUAUGGAUGUAUAAUUUUGUCUCAAUCAAUUGAUAAUCAGAGAAUUCAACCAAGUUUAGCCUGAGAGUUGGUACAAGGAUUUAUGCAGAUUUGGAAUCAUACAAAUAUGUAUUGACCUUCCCAGUUCUGCCUCAGAAGGCUUUAUAUUUAUGAUGAUUGGGUUAAAUUUUUCUCAGAUAUCAAUGAGUGAACUGAAUAAUCUUAACAAAACAAAAGCAAAUGUUUCAUGAGAAAGAGGUGAGUCCCUGGUCCUAGAGCAGAAGGAGGCACAGCCAUGUAGGAAAUGAAUAAGAUAGUUUUAUUACAAGCAGGGGUUUCCAUGGUUGCCUCGUGCUGAGACACUUGGAAACCGUUUUAUCUGGGGAGUUGGGGAGCCAUUUGGUGGCCGAGGACUGGUGGGCUGCUUACUGUUCUGCUUACAGUUACCUAUUGCUUCUUACUGUUCUGCUUACAGGGUUGCUUACAGUUACUUACUGUUGCUUACAGUUACUUACUGUUACUUACAGUUACGGUGUGAAGGCGGCCGGAAAGUAUGUAAGGCAGUAAGACUAGUCUGGGCUCACUGCCAUGGGACCAUGCGGUUGGGGGCAGGGAAACAACUUCAUAGGUUGGUUAAAACAACCAAUGGACUGCAAGAAGAAGACUGUAUCACCUUUUAAGGAAGAAAAGAGCAAGGCUUGGCAUGGGAGGAGUGAGGGAGUGGUUAUGUAAAUCAAAGGGUCUUAAAAGGGCUCGUCCCUCUCGUUCGGGUGUGCUUGGACCUGGUCAUGAGUCCAGUGCACCCAGCACGCUGUUAAUAAAGUUCUUUGUUUCACUUUAUUUGGCCGUCUCUGAAAUUUUAAUUAGAGAUAUUUCUCACAGCCAUGGACCACAA